ensembl:lncRNA
UGCGUGGUCGGGCUGUGCUGGAGGUGCUGUGGGAACUGAGGGCACUGUGCUGUGUGGUUGCUGCGCCUCUGGCAGAAGUGGGCAUGAAAUGGAGAGGGAAAAUGAGCAGAUGGGGGGGUGGACCCUGCUGACAUUGAGCCCCAAAGGCAAAUGGCUGCUAGAGCCAUGCUCUGCUCAGCUGCACUGCUUUAAAAUAAUAUGAAUUAAAAAAUAAAGAAAAUAAAGCAUACGCUGUGCAUGUGACUGAGCCCUGUUUUGUGUAAAAUGACCAGAAAAUAAAAUCCCCAGGAGAGCUUAACUUCAUGCCGGAGGAAAACAGCUGAUGUGGGAGCAGGGAAUGUGUUCAUUCCUUCUGGAAAACAGCUCUGACUCUACAGCUGUAGGAGAGGAGUGCUUUGUACACGAAAAUUGAAAUGAAAGUCUUGGCAUGUAUGAGGGAUGCUUUUCCUGGUUUCUAAUCGUUUCCUAUGGAGCCCUUCAGCUCCCACACACAUGCAUUGAAUUUGACAGUGAUGAAGUUUAUCUAUUUUACCAAUGGAAAUGCAGUUAAGCUCAUGGGAACAAUACAGUUUUUGAAGUGGGAAUUCAGCUUUGCAGGUAACCAACGACUUUCACUUCAUUUUUAUGACAGCAAUAAAGGCAAACCCUAGGCUAAAUUUAAUUCCAAUUAAUUGGAAGCAUUGUUGAGGAUGCGUUGUGGUCAAACGAUAGCGAAUGUUUGAUCUGCAGAUGUGACUGCUGGUCGGGGCUGGGCUGGGAAAGGCAAAUCACAGAAAUCCCUGCACAGCCACCUCCCACAGCACAGACCAGAAGGCUAUUUCGUAAGUAGUGAGGUUGGAGUCUUGCUAAGUAAGGGCUAAAGAAGCCUUUAAUAUGUUUUUAUGGAUUGUUCAGGUGAAUUUUCCCCUGGGCACGGUCCCAAGCCGUGCUCACUGGCAAUGCCCGUAUCCCGGCCCCUCAUCUCUUUGUUUGACAUCUCUCCAAUUUAGGCAGCCAUUUUGUGUUCAGUAAAAAAACACACGAUGAAAUGAGGAGACAUCCAUUGUGGUCCAUCUCCCGGAGAUGCUAUUUUGGGAUUUUAUUUUGUGCUCAUCUUACCCCGGAGCAGCUGUAAUUCUACCUACAGAUGCCUGUGAGUUGAAACCCACCAUGUGAAUGGAUGCAGCCUCACCAUCGGGAUCCCAAAAAUGAAAUGAACAUCACUGGAAGCGAGUGCUGCUCCUACCCACAGCAUUCUGUGUUGUGCCCUCAGUGCUGAUGGCCAGGUCAGGAGAGAGCAACGUGGGGCAGAGCUGUUCUCUCUGUGCCACGGGGCUGCUCUGGGGGCUCAGGGCGCUGUGCUGCAUCAUCUUCUCUCCCUCCCCGCCACCCCACAGCCACCACUGCAUUUCCUUCCCUAUCCUCCCGAAAGUCCCCGAGCUAUUAAGUAGGUCACGAGAGCUGGUCCCCAUCCAGCAGUUUGUCUAAUUGCCUUUUUAUAGUCGCACCGUGCCACUCUUCAUUAUGCUGUCAGUGCUGCGGGAGGACGGGGCGGGGAGUGCCCGGAGCUGGGGACGAUGGCUGCGGGUGGGCGCACUGCGAUGGAGACGCGGUUCUCUCUGCCAGGGGUUUGCACCGGCCGCCCGCUGACAGCCGUCGGUUGGUGACAGCCGCCGUCCGGUGACAGCCGCAGACCUGUGACCACCGCAGCCCGGUGACAGCCGCCGUCCGGGAGGGACCGGCGGAAAGGAGCGGAGCGGCGCGGAGCGGGGCGGGAGGG